GAUGAAGAACGUAGCGAAAUGCGAUAAUUAAUGUGAAUUGCAGAAUUCCGUGAAUCAUCGAGUCUUUGAACGCACAUUGCGCCUCAUGGCAUUCCGUGAGGCAUGCCCAUCUCAGCGUUAGAAAAUAUUCUCAAAUUUUAGUUUUGUGCUAAAAUUUGGAUCAUGUCAAGGAAGCUAUUACUAUUAUUGUGAUCGCUCUUUGGAAAUUGAUAGGUCUUUGAGUUGCUACUCAUAGAACGUGAUGAAUCUUUCUUUGUUCUAUUGUAAUUCACUCUGGUAGUCCUAAAACUUGUAUGCCUGUGGCAUAUCUUGUAAUUUGACCUGAGAUUGGGUAGGGAUACCCGCUGAACUUAAGCAUAUCAAUAAGCGGAGGA
rnacentral:misc_RNA from 1 species